AAGUACAUCACAGUGUGACCUUGAUGGAAUGAGAAAUGAUGGUCUGGCCAAGUGAAAGCAUGAAACUUGGAGAAAGAUGAUUGUGCUCAGCGUACCAGGUUCUCCAAAAUAAAAAAAAAUUUCUAUCAAGUCUCAAAUGUUCCACUUGCUAGUAUAUAGAGUUGUAUGGAACUGGAUCUGGAGAGCGAAAACUCAGCUCUACGGACAUCUACAAUUUGUUACAAAUGUUUGCCAAAUAGAAUGUUCUUUGGCACAAACAUCACUUCAACAAACCUUUCUGAAGAGUUGCAUCUGUUCCCUCCCAAUAAUGAAUACUGUUUUUAAAGCUGGUGGAUAACACAUGCAAACAAUGCUUUGGAGUGCAUCCUGAGAUGAAUAAA